rnacentral:rRNA from 1 species
GAUGAACGUUGGCGGUGUGCCUAAUACAUGCAAGUCGAACGGAGACUGUAGCAAUACUGUCUUAGUGGCGAACGGGUGAGUAACGCGUUGGUGAUCUGCCUCGAAGUGUGGAAUAACCUCCCGAAAGGGAAGCUAAUACCGCAUAGUCUCUCAAGGUUUAGAAAAUUGAGAGUAAAGGAUUUAUUCGCUUCGAGAGGAGCCUGCGUCCCAUCAGCUAGUUGGUAGGGUAACGGCCUACCAAGGCAAUGACGGGUAGGGGACCUGAGAGGGUGGCCCCCCACAAUGGAACUGAAACACGGUCCAUACACCUACGGGUGGCAGCAGUAGGGAAUAUUAGUAAUGGGCGAAAGCCUGAACUAGCAACACCGCGUGUGCGAAGAAGGCCUUCGGGUUGUAAAGCACUUUUCGGGAGGAUGAGGAAGGACGGUACUCCCGGAAUAAGUCUCGGCUAACUACGUG